rnacentral:rRNA from 1 species
UGGGGAAUAUUGCGCAAUGGACGAAAGUCUGACGCAGCGACGCCGCGUGUGGGAGGAAGCUCUUCGGGGUGUAAACCACUGUCAGGAGGGAAGAACGGCGCCGGUUCGAACAGUUCCGGCGAUUGACGGUACCUCCAAAGGAAGCGCCGGCUAACUCCGUGCCAGCAGCCGCGGUAAGACGGAGGGCGCAAGCGUUGUUCGGAAUUACUGGGCGUAAAGCGCGGGCAGGCGGUCUGUUAAGUCGUUUGUGAAAAUCCGGGGCUCAACCCCGGAAAUGCAUACGAUACUGGCAGGCUGGAGACUGGUAGAGGCUAGCGGAAUUCCUGGUGUAGCGGUGGAAUGCGUAGAUAUCAGGAAGAACACCUGAGGUGAAGACGGGUUGCUGGGCUGACACUGACGCUGAGGCGCGAAAGCCAGGGGAGCAAACGGGAUUAGAUACCCCCGUAGUCCCUGAGCGGGCUGGCAAGGCGCAU